rnacentral:rRNA from 1 species
GACGAACGCUGGCGGCGUGCUUAACACAUGCAAGUCGAACGGAAAGGCCCUGCUUUUGUGGGGUGCUCGAGUGGCGAACGGGUGAGUAACACGGGAGUAACCUGCCCUUGACUUUGGGAUAACUUCAGGAAACUGGGGCUAAUACCGGCUAGGAGCUCCUGCUGCAUGGUGGGGGUUGGAAAGUUUCGGCGGUUGGGGAUGGACUCGCGGCUUAUCAGCUUGUUGGUGGGGUAGUGGCUUACCAAGGCUUUGACGGGUAGCCGGCCUGAGAGGGUGACCGGCCACAUUGGGACUGAGAGACGGCCCAGACUCCUACGGGAGGCAGCAGUGGGGAAUAUUGCACAAUGGGCGGAAGCCUGAUGCAGCAACGCCGCGUGCGGGAUGACGGCCUUCGGGUUGUAAACCGCUUUCGCCUGUGACGAAGCGUGAGUGACGGUAAUGGGUAAAGAAGCACCGGCUAACUACGUG